GUUCUCUAGUCAGUGCUGCUGCUGGAAACCAGAGUCUUCUUUUGUUUUCCCUCUCACCUCUGGCUGCCUCUCUCUCCCCUCAAAGGUCAGAGCAGUGCCAAGGACAGAAGAGAGAGUAGAUCCAGCCUUGGCCCUGCUAGGCUGGGCAGCCUGGCAGGUAGAGUCAGCAGGGAUAGAGCUUGCUUUCCUGUUCACGAUCUUCAGCCAAGUUCAGGGAGGUCUGAAUACUGAGGCCUUCAUAGCCACUGCACCCCAGGUAGCUCAGGAGAACCUCCGAGCGCAGGAGUGCAAAGGCUGGCAUUCUUCAGGCUCUGAGGCUGUCCCUUCCGGUGGAGGUGAACUGCUUCUUAUUGAUGUGGACAAGACUGUGGAUGGAGACUGACAGGAUCCUGGCUUGGGGGCCUUCCGGCAGGGCUGGCUGCUGGGCUGGCAGGCUCUGGCGCUCCCCUUCCCCAGAACUGACUUUGUUCCUGGCAGCCAUGGUGGCUGCACUAACCACAUUCUGCCUCCACCUUUGCACUAAGAAAAGCAAAUAAGCAGACCACAGAACUGUUUGCAUUUGCCCCAGAUGCUCCCUGGCUGCGGGAAGAGACACAGCAAACAGCAGUGCUGCGGAGGUAUGUCUAAUUGCAGAUACUUUUUGUUCAUCAUCGUAUUGAACGUCGUUGCGUGUUCCAGCAGCCAUCAACUUCCUCAGGAGGAAAAUUCAAUUGUGCACUGAGCGACAGCGUGAAGAGACCGGGCCAAGCAGGCAGGGUGCUGCAGGUCAACAAGGUGCUGCUGUGCUCCUGAAGCCUUCAGGAGCCUCAGCCUGAGAGCUCAGGAAAGGGUGGGGCUCCAACCCACCUGGCUUUCCGCCUUACUGAGCUCCAAACACAGGCUUGUUCCACAUCACGGAGAGCCCUUAUCCUGCAUGUGCGUCUCGCUCCCUGACAAGCCUAUUUGUGCCUUGUCACCAGAAAUGUACCUUUUUUCUUCUCUCAUCUGUCCCUGACACCCCCAGCUUAUCUAGCCUGAAGAGAGGCUAUCAAAAUGGUAAUAGCCAGAUGGAAAACAAGGAAAAAUAAGCCCUUUCCCAUAAGGAAGCAAUACGGAUUUUGGAACCGGAGAAAUUUCUACUAUUCUCCCAACAUCAUUCCCUCCGCCUUGGGUGUGCUUCCGAGAGGGUUGGAGGUGUCACCUGCCGUACCCUAGGACUGGCUGAGGGAAAACACACCUGAAGAUUUCCUGUAAAUGAAAAAGUGAAUCACUAAAAGGGGGAGCUGUCAUCCCCUGGCAUUUCUCUGUGCACAGGCGACCUAGUGUUGGGAUGGCAGCAGAACCCAGACAACUGAGCCAACACGUGGAGGGAAGCCCUCACUAGCCUGCAUUCGACUUGUGUGAGAGAGAAGUGAACGUUUACGUGCAAAGCCACUGAGCUUUUGUUGUUGUUCCUGCAGCACAGGGCAUUCUAACCUGCCUAAUACUGAAACGAGUACUGUUAGGCUUGAUCUGUGAAGAGGAGAACAUAAAAGGCCUGCAUAUUCUCUUUUAGGUCCUAAAAAUGCAGUGCUCUCUUCUUGGCCUUGCUGUGACCAGGCUGUUUAAAAUCUGUCACCCCGCCAGUCGCCACUGUAUUAUCUUGCUUUAUUUUUCUUCAUAGUAUUUAUUGAUAAUUUAUGUGCUUAUUAUGUCUCCCUGACUGGAAUGUAAGUUUCAUGAAGGCCAGGACUUGUGCCUUAAAACAGGGCCUGGCACAGAGUAGGCACUUAAUGUGUAUUUUUGAAAGUGAAUUGUGGGCUGAAAAUUCUGAUUUUUCAAAAAAGUUAAUAAAGGUGAAGGCCUUCCUUGCCUUUAUUAAAUGCUUAAAAUGGAUCAGUGGUGGGGUAGAGAUGGAAGGAGUCACACACAUACUGUACCUUCAACGGGUUUCAAUCUAACUGGGAGACAAAAUAUAGAAACAUGAAACAAGCAGAGAGCAAAUCUCUAGGUACCUAAGAGUUAAUUAAGUACUAAGGGUGUACUUAAAUUUGUGAGGGAGGAAGGGGAAGAGGACUGUCCAGAGGUAUGGCUAACUACCAAAAACUCUCUGGAGCAGACAGCUUUGGCAGCAGACUGAGAGCAGGGUUCUCCAAUUUGAGCUUGCAGAAGAAUCACCUGGAAGGCUUCUAAAACCUAUACUAUUGGCCCCACCCCCAGAGUUUCUGAUUCACUAGAUCUGGAUUAUACCUGGGGAUCUUUUUUUUUUUAGACAGAGUCUUGCUCUGUUACCCAGGCUGGAGUGCAGUGGCACUAUCAUAGCUCACUGCAACCUCGAACUCCCCGGUUCAAGGGAUCCUCCCACCUCAGCCUCCCCAGUAACUGGGAUUUCAGGCAUGUGCCACCAAGCCCGGCUAAUUUUUUUUUUUUUUUUU
ensembl:lncRNA TUSC8 tumor suppressor candidate 8